CUGUCAGCUCAGUCCUGCCUUUCCUUGUCCUUUCUUUAUUUUAUCUGACAUCCUCCUGGCUUAUUGAAACGUUUACAUUUCCUAUGUUGUCAAACUCUGAAUCUCAUUUCAACCUUUCUUAGGAUAUCCUUUGACACAGUCCCAGGAAAAGCAGGUUCUCUGCUUUCUGACGUCAGCUGCCAAGAGUAUUCUGUGUCUCCUGCUCUGCCUCCAUGGACUAGAGGUUGGGAUUCUCAUGACAUCCAGAAGGUCUUGUGGCUGCAGAGCAAGGGUGAACAUCCUGUAGUCCCACUUGCGUCCUCUGGCGCCCACCCAGGGAAGGCACAGGGUAGCGCUGCAGACUGAAGCCCCUCGGCCCUGGCAGGGGAGGACAUGAAAGAUACCCACCAAGGAAAAAAGAGCCAUGUGCCCAGGACCUGCUGUGGAUGGCCCCACCCUCGCCCAUGUUAGAAGCCCCCGUGGAAGCCUCCAGAUAGGAGCCCAGCAUAAUUGUCUCCUGAGAGGCUCCACCCAGCAGCAGAUGGAGACAGAUGCAGAGACAGCAAUGAAACAACAGGCAGAGCUCCGGAGUCUUGUGGAAGAGGAGGAGGGGAACAUUGAGGGAGGAGGGGUCAAGGACAGCAUAAGAAGACCUACAAAGUCACCUAGCCUGGGCCCAUAGGAGACUGAACCAACAACCAAAGAGCAUGCAUUGGGCUGGACCUCGGGUCCCUACACAUAUGUAGCAGAUGUGCAGCAUGGUGUCCAUAUGGGUCUCAUAACAAGUAGAGUACAUGGGGCGGGGGUGACUCUGACUCUGUUGCCUCCUGUCCGAUCCCUUUCCCUGUCCCCGCCAGCGGGGACCCAGUUAUUCAGGGUCCCGAAGAGGCUUUCUACCUGUGGGCCAAAUGGGGGUGAAGAGAAGAAGGAGACCAAGCAAAAGUUCUGUUGUCAAGGUCUCGUUUAUUGGGGUGAACGUUACAGCUUUUAAGGCUUUCAGGUAGGGGGAGUGUCCUUUGUGAAACACGAAGGAUGGAGGGGCGAGGGUAUAGGCAGUGAUAGCAGGAGGCAAAGAGGUCAGGCGGUAGAGGCAUCCCUUGAAUGUUAUCUUCCUGUGCCGUAAAUUCAUGGGAGAGGCUUUUGUCCAACAAUCUUAAGACUUAUGGCAGUCAUCUUAGGGGUGAAUAUCUGUGGCCAAACAGCCCAGAGUCACCUAGCCACUUUGAGCCAUGCAGUCAAAAAGCGGCCAGGCCCAAAUCCAAUACGGCUCCCUACAUUUCCCCUGCUCUGUGUAGCCUUACUGGGAGAGGAUGCAUGUAGUUCUAGUGCGGCUUGAUGUGCCAGGUGGGUUGGUACCCAUGGGCGGGGAGGCUUCCUUCUUAGAGGAGAAGGGGAAGGAGAGAUGGGGAAGGGGGAUGUGAGGGUGUACCUGAGAGGAGAGGAAGAAGGGCUGUGAUCGAAAUGAAAAGUGAAGAAAUAAAUGGAGGAAAGAUCCUGUUUGCUUA